UUUCUCAAGCCAAAAACAGUCGUAGCCUCCUAGGAUGCAUGAAUCAUCAAAUGUUACGUUAGUUCUUGUUAUAUAUUUCUCAUUUUAAAGAACGAAAUUAAAUAGAUUAAAUUAUGUAUAAUCAUUUUAAGUACCGGACUGUGUUUCGGCUGCCGCGGCCACUUCGGAUACGACGAGAAGAAUUGCAAAGAGACUCAACAGAACCAAAGCCUUGGAAGCCAUUAGCUCAAUUG
rnacentral:lncRNA from 1 species